rnacentral:lncRNA from 1 species
ACCAGUGGGUAAUUCUCCUUCCUGAAUAAUGAAUCUGAAUUAUUCUCCUGAAAAAAAUUUAAUUGAGUUAUUGCCUAAUUUGUAGUAUUUGAAGAUAAAUAAUCCAUGGUAUACAUACAAUUAGGAUUCCUUAAAAAUAAAUCCAGAUUGUGGCCCAGACUCAAAUAUAAACUUAUUAUACGUUUAUAAGCAAUUGAGUUUAUAAGUUAUAAGCAAUCAAGUUGAUCUAUUAGAGUCCAAAAUACUAAAACAACAUUUUGUGCUCCACGUAUAUAAAAAUCUCAGUUUAAGACUGCUCUGCUAUUGCCAAGGGCACAGCCCUACAGACGCAGAUCUUUCAAGAUCUGACGUUCCAGGCAUUCAAAUACUUCCUAUUACACAGAAAAAGGAGUCCCCAUUAAUGGAUCAGUCCAUGUUUGAGUUUUUAGGUAACAUCAAUAUAAAUAGCCUACAUAAAAAUUGAGAAGCCCAGCACAAAUCUUUAUUUCUUCUUCAAAGAAAGAAAUUCAAGGUUUUACUCUCUGUAACUUAUUCUAGUCAUAAGUAUUAUAUUCAAGAAGUUAUAGUCUUGUAUAAUAAACCAAUUCUACUUGUUUAACUACUAAAAAGAAAUGUAUCACUU